UAUAACAGGGAGGGGAAAAUCACAUGAAGCGCUGACUGCAAACUCUCAGGCAGGGAACUGCCUUUGCUUCUGAACACACCUUAUAUGGGUAUGUUUGGUUAUGAAAAUGAGACCCACUGGGCAUAGCGUGGCUGGGCUAGGAAUGAAACAAAAAAAUGUUUCUCUACAUUAUAGAAGAAAAAGAUACUGGUGUGGUGACCCAGAAAGAGGAAGAUUCUGGAAAGGAGGCUAUGAGCAAGGGGGUGGGGACAAGGCCCAGCAAAUGGCAAGAGGCUGGGACUCCGGGGAGAAAUGGCCACUGAGAAGCUCUGAGGGAUGGGAAAGGCCAAAGAACUUUAGAACAGAGACAACUGAUGUCCAGUGAGGAGACAGUUUCCUCAUGGACCAGGGAGCAGAUGGCUGUAUUGCAGACACGUUUGUCCUGGAGCCCUCCUCUUCACAUACGUGCAGCCUCUCUCUCCUGGGUGCCGGCUCUCUUCCAGACCUCCCUUUCCCUAGCAUUCCUAUUGCUGUGCUUGGAAUGCCAAGUCCCUGACCCUUCAGUUGCAAUGGUACUUUCAAGAAACCUCAUUUCAGGGGGAGUAGUGAGCAAUGUUGUUGCCCCCACCCAGAUCCCUUUUCUUCUUUGCCGUUUUUGUGCACACUCCCUCACCCCUUUCCUGUGCACGUGCUUCUAAUUCACAGCAUCGAAGCUCUUUGGAGAACUACCUGUAGGAUAGCAGAGCCUGUGCCGAGAGCCUGGAAAUUUAUUCUCUACAUCCUUGUUUGUGGCCCUUGAUUAAUGGCCUGCAAGUGAGAUCAUAUCUGACUCAGCCUUCCACCCACCAGGGCAAUUCCCAUCUUCGACCUCUGCCCUCAGCAAAGAAGUGGAUGGAGGUGGUCUUCAGGGCAGGACUGAAUCCAAGGAGCACUGACAAGGGAAGCUUGGCUAUCUCUCUAGGAGGAAGAAGAGAGAAAGUACCCUUUUAUUUAUUUGGGGAUGAAACUAAUUAAGGAAGACAUUAAUAAUCCAAUAAAAUUCCCCCUCACAUACAACAUUGCAUGCAACCCCAGGACUCCAGGUUAGAUACACCUGAAUUAAAGGGAAGGAAGUAAGAGAGCAAGCUAUCACCCAUCCUACUUCUACCAGCCUGUGAUCAGGACACUCGACUCUAGAACAAAAAUGCUUCCCCUUGAUCUGGAAUUUCUAUUUUGUGCCAAUGGCUUCUCUUUCAUCCAAUAACAAAACACACUUUAGUUGAAAGAUAAAAUGAGGCAAGAAUUAUAGAACCUUUGGUUUUACCAAAGUAUCCAAUUAAUAAGCAAGAACAUGACGUUGGUGCCAUGAUUUUUUAUCAUCUUGGUAUCAUAUAGCUAUUAUGACAACACUUGUUGAAUCUAUAAUUCAGAAGUUUGGCUCCUGAGUUGGACACCCUCUGAGUUGGUAACAGGCCUUGGGAAAAAUAUUGUAGCCAGGUGAUGCCAAUGGUAAAUGUUUCCAGCAAUCAGAUGGUAGCACAGGGAUGGGACCAUCAUCUUCCCAUGGAUAGGAAACAUGGAUUAGUCAUCUUUAUAUACCUAGCAAAUAGCAUAACACCUUGUACUAACAUUAUUAAUAAUGAAUGUUAAA